AAAGUCGUAACAAGGUUUCCGUAGGUGAACCUGCGGAAGGAUCAUUAUUGAAUAAAACUUGGUUGGGCUGUUGCUGAUCCUCCGGGAUAUGUGCACGCCUACCGACCAACUUUUUAUUACCACCUGUGCACCUUUUGUAGAUGCUGGAUAUCUCUCGAGUGCCAAACUCGGUUUUGAGGACUGCCCCGAGCUUUCCUCAAAUUUCUGCUCUACGUUUUUUUAAUAUACCCCCUUGCAUGUCAUUGAAUGUUAUUGAUAUAGGGCCUUUGUGGCCUUUAAAAAUCUAUACAACUUUCAACAACGGAUCUCUUGGCUCUC
rnacentral:misc_RNA from 1 species